UCCCCCCGCUCCCCCGCUCCCCCGCCCCAAAGCGUCAGCCUCCCCCACCGCCUGACCCCCCCGCAGGGAUGGGUCCUCCGCCGGGUGAGAGGCGCAGAAGCCUGGAGCGAAGCCCGGUGGGCUUUGGGGUCCCAGUUACUUCCCGGGAAGCGGCGAGAGACCCGGCAAGGCGUGUGGCGCUACUCGGCGAGGGGCUGGCAACCCACUUUUGCAACCAACCUGUAGGCUGUAACCGCUUUAGGAAGUUUCACGCACAGGCUGGGUUAGUACGCUUGCUCUGCCACAAGCUGCCAGCGGCUUGGAACCUGUUGCUCUGUGCCUGGAGCGCUAGGAAACGGAUUGGACGUUCUGAAGUAGACCAGACCGAGUUUUAAAAUACUACAAACUUUAAACAUUCAUUUUGAGGUGGCAGUUACGGCUUCGUUCCACCUCUUGUGUUGUACGCAGUGCUCCAGGAUGAAUCUCUCGGGCUGUCUCCUCAGUCCUUGGCCUGUGUACUGCACGUUAGUAGGGUGUAGGAAUAGAAACUAGAUGCCAGCUGAGGUACCAGAACUACCAGAAGAAAGCAGCCAAGUGCCUCAUUCAGCGGAGACGGUCUACAGAAAGAGCGAACGCAGCCUCAGGAAAAGGAAAGGCAGAGAAAAACGAAUUUUGUUAACCCAGAGGACCGCACUUCCAAGACCGUCUUCUGCUCCAACAGCCUAGGUCAAAGUACAUCAUGAAGACGUGCUCAGAGGAUCGCUAGCGAGAGUAUUGGGAUAAGACUUCCUGGGGCCGUAAUGAUGUACUACGCCAAGGAUAACACCAUGAGUGUCCCCUGAAUUUCCAUUUGAAGUUUCAGAGCACCUAAGCUGAUCCUGCAACAUCUGAGAAAUACAAGAAAAAGGAAUUUGUUUCUCCCCCGUGCUUUCAAAAAAUAGUUGAUGGGGUACAUGCCACCAAACAGAAGCUUCUAUUGUCAGGACUCUGCUGAGGCUUUUAUGGAAUGCUGCCUACUGCCUAAGAAGUCCUACAGUACUGGUCAGUGUACUCUGUGGGGACCACAUGGACGUGUCAAAAAACAUGAUUUCCUAAGACUGCAGAAGAACAGAUGUUGAUGGGCCUUAGUCUUUCCUAUAUCUGUUUCCUUAGUCCUAGUUUUUGUCUAUGUUUUGCUUGUGUUUUCCAGAGGGUUUUCAGUAGUGCAAAUCUUUCUCAUAAAAUUACUGUUUUAUCUUGCUUGCUGAUUCUCAAGCCCUCUUAUAACUUCAAAGUACUACAUGUGUGUGCCAUAUUGGCAUCCAAUAAAUGUGUUUAUGUUAGCAAUUUA